CUGCCAAGAACAAACUCUGGCUGGACAAUUACUAGGGAACUUCUUCUAUCGAGAUAAGCACUGGAAGCCAUUUCCUGUCGGUAAAAUGGAUUCUUGACUUUCCCAGCCAAUCAUUUCAUCUCUGUGAAGGAAGAAAUAAUAAGGGAGACACAGGAACGCUGAGUCUAGUGGUGUUUAAGAAGUGAAACUGGCUAGAGAAUGGAGGACCCCUGGAAGAAUGCAGUCAUCUCAUAAUUAUAGAACCCAGGACAAUGGAAGCAACAGGCUGCAUCUAUUCUGCUCUGGUCCCACCAUAUCUGGGAAACCUGUUAUGCUUCAAAGACACAUUACCAAGCUGGAAGGAUCCAAAGAAGUUACCCGUAGGGUAAGGGAGAGAAAACUGAAGCAUAAAGCGGUGAAGUAAUCAAGGUAAAUACAACUGAAGGGUAAUACACUGAAGCAGAA